CCUACGGGUGGCAGCAGUGGGGAAUAUUGCACAAUGGGGGAAACCCUGAUGCAGCGACGCCGCGUGAGGGAAGAAGUAUCUAGGUACGUAAAGCUCUAUCAGCCGGGAAGAAAAUGACGGUACCUGACUAAGAAGCCACGGCUAACUACGUGCCAGCAGCCGCGGUAAAACGUAGGGGGCAAGCGUUACCCGGGUUUACUGGGUGUAAAGGGAGCGUAGACGGGAGGACAAGUCUGGCGUGAAAUCCCGGGGCUUAACCCCGGAACUGCCUUUGAAACCGGGCGGCUGGAGUGCAGGAGGGGUAAGCGGAAUUCGUGGUGUAGCGGUGAAAUGCUUAGAUAUUACGAAGAACUCCGAUUGCGAAGGCAGCUUACUGGACUGCAACUGACGUUGAUGCUCGAAAGCGUGGGUAUCAAACAGGAUUAGAUACCCUAGUAGUC
rnacentral:rRNA from 1 species